rnacentral:rRNA from 1 species
CAAUAGCAUAUAUUAAAGUUGUUGCAGUUAAAAGCUCGUAGUUGGAUUUCGGGUCGACGCGUGAGGUCUGCCGCAAGGUAUGUACUUUGCCGUCGUCCUUCUUCCCGGCGGCCCGUCCUGCUCUUCUAUUGCAUGCUGGACGUGGGGACCUCGGGACGUUUACUGUGAAAAAUUAGAGUGUUCAAAGCAGGCAGCCGCUUGAAUACAUUAGCAUGGAAUAAUGGAAGAGGACUUGGGUCCUAUUUUGUUGGUUUCCUGGACCGAAGUAAUGAUCAAUAGGGACAGUUGGGGCAGUUCGUAUUCUAUUGUCAGAGGUGAAAUUCUUGGAUUUACGAAAGACGAACAACUGCGAAAGCACUUGCCAAGAGUGUUUUCAUUAAUCAAGAACGAAAGUUAGAGGAUCGAAGACGAUCAGAU